GUCCACGCCGUAAACGAUGUCAACUAGCCGUUGGGAACCUUGAGUUCUUAGUGGCGCAGCUAACGCAUUAAGUUGACCGCCUGGGGAGUACGGCCGCAAGGUUAAACUCAAAUGAAUUGACGGGGCCCGCACAAGCGGUGGAGCAUGUGGUUUAAUUCGAAGCAACGCGAAGAACCUUACCAGGCCUUGACAUGCAGAGAACUUUCCAGAGAUGGAUUGGUGCCUUCGGGAACUCUGACACAGGUGCUGCAUGGCUGUCGU
rnacentral:rRNA from 1 species